CGGCCCGAUGGGAAUCGAACCCACAGUGUACCGCUUACCAGGCAGAUGUCAUGUUAACUAGGCUACCCUGAACAGGCC